GAGACCUAACAAUAUGCCAGACAAUACGAACAAUAGUUUAAAAUCCAAAGAAAUUGGCGGUAUCUUAUGUAAUCAGGGGAACCUGUCUCUUAAUUCGAUAGUCCACGAAACCUUAUCCUAGUUUUAACAAUAUUAGCCUGUGUACUGCUGUCGCCAGUAAACCUCUAAAAGUCUAAGUUUACAAAAAUACAUCUAAAUGUAUUAAAGUCAAGUCAAAGUGCAGCCAAUAACUAGGCGAACGAUGGGUUACAAUCUAAAACACAGACACGAAUAUAUUUUCCAAAAAAAAUAUGGAAGGUGGACUUGAAAGUAAUGAUUAAACACACUAUCAUAAAAAUCUAUCUAAGAUAUGCACACAUCGCCCGUCACUCUCUUCAUAAGAUG
rnacentral:rRNA from 1 species